rnacentral:lncRNA from 1 species
AUCUUUUCUUUAUCACACUGCGCCCAGGGAGCAGUGUGUGGGGACGGCGCUUUGCUCAGUGGCACCUUGGCGGGUCGGGAUUCGAACCGGCCACCGCUGGGCCCCUAUUUUGCUGGCACUGUUAUGAAGAACAGCUUCUGGUCACUGGACAUGACUUCUGGGUGGUGUUAAAAGAUCACGGCCUACUCGGUGGUGCUCGCCAUCCGCUGAGAAAUAUUGCUCUAGGACGGUGGAACCCCAACACAGGGCCAGUGGAGCUUUGGCACCAGGUUGCACAGAAACAAUAGCUUCUCAUAUUUUGCAGGACUCUAUUUUCAAAUAUCACAAGCAUAAUUUUACACAAUUCUGGAAGCUUUCUGGGUAAUUCUGGAAGCUUUCAUGGCUGCCCACUGCUCACCAAGGGUGAUGGUUAAAUACAGAGGACACAUUUCACUGUGUCACAGUGUGCUGUGCUGUGUUGUGUAUCACAAUCACUUCACCUUCACUUUACUGACCACCCUUAUCUGGAAGAGGGCGUCUGGUAAACGCUGUAAAUGUAAUUCUAGGUGACCACCAAUGGUUUUCAGCCUUCAUUGGCCAACCAAGUUGAUGAAUUUGGAGAUCUGAACCACGCUGAUGGAUGCCUACCUUACAUUAAAGUUCAUAUGUAAAGUUCACAGGCACAAAAUCCAACGCAGAUUUGACACCACUGCAAUGGCUGAACAGAAGGGGAGGGAGCACGGCUAGGCAAGGUGACGUAGGUGACACCAGUCCUAUUAUAUUAGAUAGUACGCCACAGGAUAUUUCUGUUUCCUGUUUUGGCGCAAUGGCGGCUGUCAUGCUGUACGUUGUUAAUUCUCUCAUUUUUGUUACUUUUAGGCCUGAUGAUUCCCUCCUUUGGGGUUUAUGCUGUAGGCAACAUGCUGGGGCAGGUCUUUGUACGAUUCAAACGAGUUCAACAAAUGAGUGCGAUAUGCUUUUGAUCCUCUGAACAGGUUUAUGGCGGCGGAUGAUGAUGUGGCAAAAAAGUCCCUGUACGACCUACUCGAUCGUCGCGCUGCUGAGAUUGAUAAGAAAAACAUAGUUCAUGAUGAGUUGACUGGACUAAUAGAAGAUCCAAAUCAACGAGCUGAGGACGUCAAGUACUUUCUUGCUGAGGGCCAAUUUUACAACACUUGUGUUCUUGACUCGAUCCUGGUGAGUCUUCACAUUUUGUAUAAAAAAAUGUCUGUCAUCCGAAGCCUUUUUAAACGGGACCGCACCCUACACGCGGCCAUCAUGCUGCUGGAAGCGAAGCUAUACGAAGACGCCAGGUGCCUGUGGCUGAUCAACUUACAGCUGAUCGGAGCAGGUUUCAGGCGCAGAUCUCUCGAUAUUACCAGCAACGUCAGCGACCACCUGCCCAUGUUUAAUGAUCUGGUGCGUGCCAGGUAUCAUUACGAUGACGACAGAACAAGUCCCAGACUUGGCGGCAUGAUUUAUUACAACACGCUUAAAUCUUUUGAGGACUAUGGGGAUGCCAUUGCCAUGGGACCAGAAGCUAGCCCCGUCUUUAUCCUGAUAAACGUUGCUGGUCGCCUGGAAUCAUGUCCUCCUGACUGUAUUACUGAUUGUUACGACAGAUGUUACAAGUUGCAGUUUCUCCUGCUUGGUAUCAUCGAGCCAGAGUUCAAUCACAUGGUGGCAGCUGUCAACCUCAACAAGAGAUGGGUUCUAUAUGCUGCUGAUGCCAGUGGAGAAACCCAUUUUCAAGACUUCAAUAUGGCUGCAGGAAUCGGGGACAUGGUCGUUCACUUGGCCGGAUAUGUCACCACAAAAAAUGAAGGUGACAGCAGUUCUUUGGAUUGACCUCCAGGAAUUCCAGUGUGUGUGAGGAAAUUUAUAAAAAGAAAACAGAAAAUUAUUAGCUAUUUUCUCACUUCUACUAACAACAUACUAUUUCCAUUUUGUCCUCCCACCACACAGACACAUUCAUCAGGAAUGUGGACUUGUGUGUCUUGUCUAUUCCUCUUGCUAAUAAAAAAUACUAAAAAAAACUUAACA